rnacentral:rRNA from 1 species
UUUGAGAGGAGCUGUCCUUAGUACGAGAGGACCGGGAUGGACGCACCGCUGGUGUACCAGUUGUUCCGCCAGGAGCAUCGCUGGGUAGCUAUGUGCGGAAGGGAUAAGCGCUGAAAGCAUCUAAGUGCGAAGCCCCCCUCAAGAUGAGAUUUCCUUUGCGUAAGCAGUAAGACACCUCAGAGACGAUGAGGUAGAUAGGCUGGGAGUGGAAGUCCUGUGAAGGAUGGAGCGGACCAGUACUAAUCAGUCGAGGACUUGACCAAA